UACAGAGGGUGCGAGCGUUGUUCGGAAUUACUGGGCGUAAAGCGCGCGCAGGCGGCUUUUUAAGUCCGACGGUGAAAUGCCGGGGCUCAACCCCGUGCCCGCCGCGGAUACUGGGAAGCUGGAGACGAGUAGAGGCAAGCGGAAUUCCGGGUGUAGCGGUGGAAUGCGUAGAGAUCCGGAAGAACACCGGAGGCGAAGGCGGCUUGCUGGGCUCGGUCUGACGCUGAGGCGCGAAAGCGUGGGGAGCGAACAGG
rnacentral:rRNA from 1 species